GACCCCAUGCCGAACUCAGAAGUGAAACGUCGUAGCGCCGAUGGUAGUGUGGGGUCUCCCCAUGUGAGAGUAGGGAAUCGCCAGGC
rnacentral:rRNA from 1 species